GUGAGGAAUAUUGGUCAAUGGGCGGGAGCCUGAACCAGCCAAGUCGCGUGAAGGAAGAAGGAUCUAUGGUUCGUAAACUUCUUUUGUGCAGGAAUAAAGUGGGUUACGUGUAACCUUUUGUAUGUACUGUACGAAUAAGGAUCGGCUAACUCCGUGCCAGCAGCCGCGGUAAUACGGAGGAUCCGAGCGUUAUCCGGAUUUAUUGGGUUUAAAGGGUGCGUAGGUGGAUUGAUAAGUCAGCGGUGAAAGUUUGCAGCUUAACUGUAAAAUUGCCGUUGAAACUGUCGGUCUUGAGUGCAAAUGAGGUAGGCGGAAUGUGUUGUGUAGCGGUGAAAUGCUUAGAUAUAACACAGAACUCCGAUUGCGAAGGCAGCUUACUGGGAUGCAACUGACACUGAUGCACGAAAGCGUGGGUAUCAAACAGGAUUAGAAACCCCUGUAGUCC
rnacentral:rRNA from 1 species